rnacentral:rRNA from 1 species
AUUAACGCGAAGAACCUUACCUACCCUUGACAUGCCAGGAACCCUGCAGAGAUGUAGGGGUGCCCGAAAGGGAACCUGGGCACAGGUGCUGCAUGGCUGUCGUCAGCUCGUGUCGUGAGAUGUUGGGUUAAGUCCCGCAACGAGCGCAACCCUUACCAUUAGUUGCUACAUUCAGUUGGGCACUCUAAUGGGACUGCCGGUGACAAACCGGAGGAAGGUGGGGAUGACGUCAAGUCCUCAUGGCCCUUAUGGGUAGGGCUUCACACGUAAUACAAUGGCGCAUACAGAGGGCUGCAAACCCGCGAGGGGGAGCUAAUCCCAAAAAGUGCGUCGUAGUCCGGAUUGUUCUCUGCAAUUCGAGAGCAUGAAGUCGGAAUCGCUAGUAAUCGCGGAUCAGCAUGUCGCGGUGAAUACGUUCCCGGGUCUUGUACACACGCAAU